GCCCAGGUGGCUCAGUCGGUUGAGCGUCCUACUCUUGAUUUCAGCUCAGGUCAUGAUCCCAGGGUUGUGGGAUCAAAUCCCGCAUUGGGCU
rnacentral:tRNA from 1 species